rnacentral:rRNA from 1 species
AAAUUGAAGAGUUUGAUCAUGGCUCAGAUUGAACGCUGGCGGCAGGCCUAACACAUGCAAGUCGAGCGGUAACAGGAAGGAAGCUUGCUUUCUUUGCUGACGAGCGGCGGACGGGUGAGUAAUGCCUGGGAAAUUGCCCUGAUGUGGGGGAUAACCAUUGGAAACGAUGGCUAAUACCGCAUGAUGCCUACGGGCCAAAGAGGGGGACCUUCGGGCCUCUCGCGUCAGGAUAUGCCCAGGUGGGAUUAGCUAGUUGGUGAGGUAAUGGCUCACCAAGGCGACGAUCCCUAGCUGG